UACGUAGGGGGCAAGCGUUGUCCGGAAUCAUUGGGCGUAAAGCGCGUGUAGGCGGCUUGGUAAGUCUGCUCUGAAAGCCCGGGGCUCAACCCCGGGAGGCGGGUGGAUACUGUCAAGCUCGAGUCCGGAAGAGGAGUGUGGAAUUCCUGGUGUAGCGGUGAAAUGCGCAGAUAUCAGGAGGAACACCAAUGGCGAAGGCAGCGACUCUGGGAC
rnacentral:rRNA from 1 species